rnacentral:rRNA from 1 species
GACGAACGCUGGCGGCGUGCUUAACACAUGCAAGUCGAACGGAAAGGCCCUGCUUUUGUGGGGUGCUCGAGUGGCGAACGGGUGAGUAACACGUGAGUAACCUGCCCUUGACUUUGGGAUAACUUCAGGAAACUGGGGCUAAUACCGGAUAGGAUCUCCUGCUGCAUGGAGGGGGUUGGAAAGUUUCGGCCGGUGUGGCUGGACGCGCGGCUUAUCAGCUUGUUAGUGGGGUAGGGGCUUACCCAGGCUUUGACGGGUAGCCGGCCUGAGAGGGUGACCGGCCACAUUGGGACUACGAUACGGCCCAGACUCCUACGGGAGGCAGCAGUGGGGAAUAUGGCACAGUGGGCGGACGCCUGAUGCAGCAACGCCGCGUUCGGGAUGACGGCCUUCGGGUUGUAAACCGCUUUCGCCUGUGACGAAGCGUGAGUGACGGUAAUGAGUAAAGAAGCACCGGCUAACUACGUG